ensembl:lncRNA
AGGUUUUCAGCAGCCGUAAAGCGGGCGGAGCGCGCGCCUGCCCUCGCCCCCGAGCGCCGGCCCCGGCGCCUCCGCCGCGAGCGUCAGCCGCUUGCCAAGGAGCGGCCUGGGCUGAGUCACAAUAAAAGACACGUUUGCCGAGCGCAGUGGGGAGAGGGGCUCGAGCAGCCGCGUUCAACGGCCAGAGGCUCGAAACUAGGGAAAGGAGGCUUUCUAAAGUGGACAAAACUGGAAAACUUGACCCAUGGUGGGAGAGAGAUGCGCUGCUUUUAUCAUUUGCGUAUAUUUUCCAAAUAUUCUUUGUAUCUAAUAAAACUUUUUAAAGACUUUUCUUUUAGCCAGAUGGUUGGGUCUAAUGCUCAGCCUCGGCGCUCCCAGCUGUAGGACCUUCUGCAAAUUCCUUGAAUUCUGUGCCUUUGUUUCCCCUCAGGAGAGGGGAUGCUGGGAGGGUGCUUGGCUUCGCGCCUGCGCUAUGCACUAACUAGACGUUAAUUAUUAGGAUUUAAAAAUGAAGGUGGAGGAUAAGUGAAGAGGGGCCUAGAUGAACAGCUUUAAAAGGAAGAAGACAAAAAUAAAGCGAGGAUUUUUUUCAAGUUUUAGAAGAAGUUUACUUGCAGCUGCUUAAAUCUGUCACACUCUAAUCUUUGUCGACAUAUGAGCCAACAAGUCAUGAGGCAGUCCUGUGGAAAGAAAGACUCACAUGGCAAGGAAUUGAAGCCUGCCAACAACCAUAUGAGAGAACUUGGAAACUGAUUUUUCUUUCUCCCAGUCAAACCUUCAGAUGAGACCACAGUACCUGCCAUUAGUAGUUUGAAUGCAGAGAGACUUUGAUCCAGAGGCGCUCAGCUAAGCUGUGUCCACGUUCCUGACCAUCAGAAACUAUGAAAUAAUAAGUGUUUGCUUUAGACACUAAAUUUUUGAUAAUUUGUUAUGUAGUAAUAGUAACAAAUACACUAAGGAAACAAAAGGGAAGAGAUGGCUUACCAAACCUGGGAACUCAGAGAAUGACUAUUUGCAAUUUGGUUCUCAGUCCACUGACAAGGAACUGUAUUUUAUGGUCACCUCAUAAAGGUGGGAUGGACUCCCUCCCAAUUAAAGGUGGGAUAUAAAGGCUGAUGACACUCCACUUACCAAGAUAAUUUGAGAAAAAGUUUAUUACUCACACAAAGGACUCCUGGGGAAAGAAGAGCAGGUACAAGCAGAUGUGUGCUGGCAUGAGUGAGGCAGAGGGAGUGGGUUGGGCCUUGAUAGUACCUCCUAGCCACUAUACGGGUGUGGGACUGGAGAAGAAUUCCUUUGCUUGGGCUGGAGAUUUGCAAGGUUUGAAUUUCCCACCAAUGCCAAAGGAGGAGACACACUUGGACUUUCUUAUCAGCCUGUUCAGAUGUCGAGCCAGAUGGGAAGGGAGGGUGAGGCUUAAAAAAAUAAGAAAUCAAACAUCAAAAAAUGAAGUUAGACUCUUUAUCACAGGGUGUCUUCCAACUACCGCAAACAUAUGCUGUAUGCUAUAAGAGAGUAUCCCAGUUGGUGACAUACAUGGAAAAACCAGUGAAGGACAUUCCACCACACUUCUUUUGCUAUGAAACAAUGUAGUGUGGGAUUUCAAGAUGGUGAAUUUAGAUAUUCUGUAAGUCCAUGAAUGGUGCUACUGGCCAAAGCAGUGCUGGCAGGUAAAGCAAAUCCAUACCCAGAAUAAAUAUGCUUUCCUGUCAGGUCAAAUCUUCGUCCCCUCCUUGGAGGAGCCAUUUGAUGAAAAGAGCCUAGGUCCUUGAGUUUCUCCUUAGAGGAAAGCCACUGAACCGAGAACAUCUGCUUUGUACGUGGUGUGUAAGAAAUAAACUUUUGUUGCAGUAAGC